rnacentral:tRNA from 1 species
GGCCUCGUGGUCUAACGGUAUGAUGUCGCUCUCACUCAGCGAAGGUAGCGUGUUCGACUCACGCCGGGGCCA